GUGUUUCAACAGAUGGUCUUCUUAGAUCAGACACUGAACAACUGAAGAAAAUGUUUCAAAUGUUUGUUUUGUUCUGGUUGUGCUGGUGCCGUCUGAUAAGUGUUUUUGUUGCUCUGACAGAUGAAAUACAGUCAGUGUCAGUGAUAGAGGGAAAUUCUGUCCUUUUAUUCAUGGAUGUUACUGAAAUACAAGACGACGACAAUAUACUAUGGAAAUUUGGAGCUGACCAUAUUCUCAUAGCUAAAAUCAACAGACAUAAGAAAAUCUUUUCCAUAUCUGAUGGUCCUGAUGGAAGAUUCAGAGACAGACUGAAGCUGGAUAAUCAAACUGGAUCUCUGACCAUCACAGACAUCACAACUCAACAAGCUGGACAUUAUCAGCUACAGAUAAUUGGUGCAAAAUGGUCAUCAAAAACAUUCAGUGUUUCUGUCUAUGGUCAUCUACCCACUCCUAACAUUACCAGAGAUUAUUCACAAAAUCUUUCAUCAUCAUCAUCAUCAUCAUCAUCAUCAUCAUCAUAUUGUUCAUUGGUGUGUUCAGUGGUGAAUGUGAGUCAUGUGACUCUCUCCUGGUACAAAGGAAACA